GACGAACGCUGGCGGCGUGCCUAACACAUGCAAGUCGAGCGGAGCAAAUUAGCAGAUCCCUUCGGGGUGACGUUGAGGAAGCUUAGCGGCGGACGGGUGAGUAACGCGUGAGUAACCUGCCCAUAAGAGAGGGAUAACACAGAGAAAUUUGUGCUAAUACCUCAUAUUGAGUUAAGAUCGCAUGAUUUUUACUGAAAGAUUUAUCGCUUAUGGAUGGACUCGCGUCUGAUUAGCUAGUUGGUGAGGUAAAGGCUCACCAAGGCGACGAUCAGUAGCCGAAUGAGAGGUUGAUCGGCCACAUUGGGACUGAGACACGGCCCA
rnacentral:rRNA from 1 species